rnacentral:rRNA from 1 species
GAUGAACGCUGGCGGCGUGCUUAACACAUGCAAGUCGAACGAAACACCUUAUUUGAUUUUCUUCGGAACUGAAGAUUUGGUGAUUGAGUGGCGGACGGGUGAGUAACGCGUGGGUAACCUGCCCUGUACAGGGGGAUAACAGUCAGAAAUGACUGCUAAUACCGCAUAAGACCACAGCACCGCAUGGUGCAGGGGUAAAAACUCCGGUGGUACAGGAUGGACCCGCGUCUGAUUAGCUGGUUGGUGAGGUAACGGCUCACCAAGGCGACGAUCAGUAGCCGGCUUGAGAGAGUGAACGGCCACAUUGGGACUGAGACACGGCCCAAACUCCUACGGGAGGCAGCAGUGGGGAAUAUUGCACAAUGGGGGAAACCCUGAUGCAGCGACGCCGCGUGAGUGAAGAAGUAUCUCGGUAUGUAAAGCUCUAUCAGCAGGGAAGAAAA